rnacentral:misc_RNA from 1 species
UGUGGGGGCGAGCUAGCUCGCGAUGGCGUCGGUUCACGCAUCGAUGUUGGCUGAUGCACCGCUAUCGCGAGCAAGCUCGCUCCCACA